UAAAUAUGUUUUAGUAGAUUUGCAUCUUUUCCUUAUUUAUAUUUUGUAAUUAGGAUCAUUAGUAUUUAUUCUAGCCAUCUUUGCCUAUUAAAACACAUAUUUCUGACCAAUCAGGCAUAACAAAUAUUACUUUCUUCUAAAUUACAUAAUAUGAGAGCUUUGGUUUUGAUGUUGAAUCAAAAACUAUUUGAUUCAAGCUAUUAGCAUGGAUGGUGUUGAUCUUGCAUGCUCCGUUUUUAACUCAAUUGCAGGAGGAGUGUGUUUCUUUAGUUAAUUCAAUUGCAAACCCAAAUGUUGCAUUUGAUGUAACAGAAAAAGGCAACAAGUCACUUGAGUUGAAGAUUCAAAAUCAGGUGCUCUAAAAAAUGUCUCUGACGAGCAUGAAUUGUUGUGGUGGGAGCAUACCAACAUGACUGUUAGAGUAAACUAUAGAGAUGAAUAGAGGAACAAUUAUUAUAGAUGCUAUCACCUACAUUGAGAUGCUGCAAGACAAAGUCUAGAGUCUUAUCACUGAUUCUGUUUUGUUGUUUUGCAAUUAACUUUGGUUCACUGUAUCUCAUAA